GUUUUCUGUUUCCAGAACUUCACUUAGAACUAUCUAUGCUUGAGUCAUGCAGUAGCUUGUGACAAGUUAUUAUUUUUUUUAACAACUUUUCUUCUCAGCAAUCACCACCUGUGAUGAAAACACAGAGCAGGAAGCUACAUCCCAGCAGCUAAGAAUAAUAGCAAGCAGUCCUUUGAACUACUCGGCUUGAGGAAAGGAUAAAAAGCUACUGAGUCAUCAGAGUGGUUCGCCACAUCACGAUGUGUCUCCUGCUGUUUUCUCAGGAGAUGUUGUCUACUUCCUAUGAGAAAGACCCAGGAAACUUUUGCUGAACAGUUGGCAAUUGGUGUGAGCUCUACUGCAAACAUUCUCUUGCUUAAAGUAACUCAGAGGUCCUGCUUCAGCAAUAUGAAAGCUGGCAGAAUGUCUAGACCCCUUCUCUUAGGUCACUUAUGGCUUACGUCGUAGCUCUCAGAAGGGACCCUCUUAUAACACCAAGAGUCCAUUGAUUCCAAGCGCUGAACACUUAUAUCCUGAUGCUUGCCAAUCCUGAACUCUGUAAUCCCCACUUCAUUCAUCUGCUUUAGUGCUUUUACAGAAAGAAAUAUUCAGGUUUCUAUUCAGUUGAAUUUCUGAGUAUCUGGAAAGUCGAUCAACCUGA
rnacentral:lncRNA from 1 species